rnacentral:rRNA from 1 species
GGGGAAUUUUGGACAAUGGGCGCAAGCCUGAUCCAGCCAUGCCGCGUGUCUGAAGAAGGCCUUCGGGUUGUAAAGGACUUUUGUCAGGGAAGAAAAGGCUGUUGCUAAUAUCAGCGGCUGAUGACGGUACCUGAAGAAUAAGCACCGGCUAACUACGUGCCAGCAGCCGCGGUAAUACGUAGGGUGCGAGCGUUAAUCGGAAUUACUGGGCGUAAAGCGGGCGCAGACGGUUACUUAAGCAGGAUGUGAAAUCCCCGGGCUCAACCCGGGAACUGCGUUCUGAACUGGGUGACUCGAGUGUGUCAGAGGGAGGUAGAAUUCCACGUGUAGCAGUGAAAUGCGUAGAGAUGUGGAGGAAUACCGAUGGCGAAGGCAGCCUCCUGGGAUAACACUGACGUUCAUGCCCGAAAGCGUGGGUAGCAAACAGGAUUAGAUACCCUGGUAGUCCACGCCCUAAACGAUGUCAAUUAGCUGUUGGGCAACUUGAUUGCUUAGUAGCGUAGCUAACGCGUGAAAUUGACCGCCUGGGGAGUACGGUCGCAAGAUUA